CCUACGGGUGGCUGCAGUGGGGAAUAUUGGACAAUGGGCGAAAGCCUGAUCCAGCCAUGCCGCGUGUGUGAAGAAGGCCUUCGGGUUGUAAAGCACUUUCAGUGGGGAAGAAAGCCUUGGGGCUAAUACCCUCGAGGAAGGACAUCACCCACAGAAGAAGCACCGGCUAACUCCGUGCCAGCAGCCGCGGUAAUACGGAGGGUGCGAGUGUUAAUCGGAAUUACUGGGCGUAAAGCGCGCGUAGGCGGUCUGAUAAGCCGGUUGUGAAAGCCCCGGGCUCAACCUGGGAACGGCAUCCGGAACUGUCAGGCUAGAGUGCAGGAGAGGAAGGUAGAAUUCCCGGUGUAGCAGUGAAAUGCGUAGAGAUCGGGAGGAAUACCAGUGGCGAAGGCGGCCUUCUGGACUGACACUGACGCUGAGGUGCGAAAGCGUGGGUAGCAAACAGGAUUAGAUACCCUGGUAGUC
rnacentral:rRNA from 1 species